rnacentral:rRNA from 1 species
GACGUAGGUGGCGAACGUUAUCCGGAAUUAUUGGGCGUAAAGGGCGCGUAGGCGGCUCGGUAAGUAGGGGGUGAAAUCCUGCGGCUCAACCGCAGGGCUGCCUUCUAAACUGUCGAGCUCGAGCACGGUAGAGGCAGAUGGAAUUCCCGGUGUAGCGGUGGAAUGCGUAGAGAUCGGGAAGAACAUCAGUGGCGAAGGCGGUCUGCUGGGCCGUUGCUGACGCUGAGAAGCGAAAGCGUGGGGAGCGAACAGG